UAGAUUGAGGGUGAGGUUAGAGUGGCACAUGGCUCUGUACCCCAUUGGGUACCUCCAGCAGGCCGGGCACUGCAGCCCCUUGGCCUCCGGCACUCUGCGAGGGAACAUGCUGGCAUGAGUUUGCUGGUCCCGAUGGGGAAGAGUCAGGGAUCCCUGAGAGAGCCUGUCAGGAGGAGAGAAGGGACGCCGGGGUGAAAGGGAGGAAGGAGGUGGCAGAAGAGGCCUCGAGGAUGACGUGGGGCUGUAGAUGCAGGAGGCAGCUGGAGCCUGUGGCACUGGGGCAUGGCGGGCCUCAAGGAUUUCACUGCCACCCUUGCCGAGGAGGGUACCCUGAGGCUUCCUCCCAAGGAGCUGGUGGUCAGAAUUCCUCAGCAGGUGAACAGAAAGCCAGGAAAACAUCUUCCCAGGGACCUUGCCCAGCCCCAGGUGCAGCUGUUGUUCUGGAAAAUUACUGCACUGCAUUUCAGAAGCAUCUCUAAUCCCCAAAUCUGUCAUCGCCUUGCCCACCCUGGCCCAGCUUUUGUAAAAGGGCAAAGAGAAGAGCAGGUGAGAAUCAAUUCACAGAAUCGCAGCCGUUCUGCCCCCUUCAGCUUCCAGCUCGGGCUCGCCUGGGAGCUGAGCCGCACCGGCUCUCUCUUUUGUCUGAAACAAGCAGCAGGAUUGUUUUGCUCAGUGUUGUCAGAGUUGUUUUUAAACAGCCGCCCAUCGUGCUGCAGGGAGGGAGGGCGAGACACAUGUGGAUCAACAAUGAGAUGGGUCUUGGCCUCGGGACGGGAUGCCCGGGUCGGGGAGUGCAGCUUUGAUCUGGCAGGCCGGCCUGAAGAACAAAGCCGGUCUCCUGGUCCCUCCUCGGCUGUGCCCAGCUGCACUCACUCUGAAGCUGAAUCUUGGCAGUUGUGAUUCUUCUGCUGGCAAAACGGAGAUGGCAGGCCCCCUGGGUCUGGGCUGUUGAAUGCCACGCGGGCAGGGGGCCUCUCCUUCCCCCACUGGCACGGGCUGUUGGAAACCCGUCAGUUCGGACUCUGAGCUGUGCCCCCCAACAGACAACAUAAUAGGACCCAAAUCAGAUACUCGUGAGCCAGGCAGUGACUUGGGCUCGCUUUGAUUGGUGUGUGAGGCACAAAUAAACAGAAAAUGUCUAUAAACUUCUUUUAGUUGGAAUCA
ensembl:lncRNA novel transcript